rnacentral:lncRNA from 1 species
ACCCACAGAUGUGAAUGUCGUGUGAUGUUGGCUUUCCAGUGUCUUGCAUGGCGUGGUAGCAGCAGAAAUGAGCUUGGCUGGGCACCCUCUUGGCCUUGGAGGCCAGCCUGGGCUCCUCUGAAAAUACAGGCAGCUUCCUUUCCCUGACUUGCCUGGAGGAGCCAGGCCCUGUGGUGCGGUCUGGCUGUGAGGCCUGUGGUCCUGCUUGGGACUGGCAGUCUUAGGCUGAGGGAACAUUUUCCAGAGUAUAGCCGAGGGACAGAAUGUCUCAGUAAGACGGGCUCGGAGGGGCAGGGUUUUGGAAAGGCCUCUGCUUGUUCUGGGAGGCAUUCAGGAUGCUGAGGUUUUGGAAAUCCAUGGCGGCUCUUCACAACUGCUCCCAGCUUUGGGAGGAGGAAUAGACGGGUGCUCGUUUCCUCGGGUUCAGUGGCAAAGGUGAAGCCCAGCACUGCUGACCUGGGACCUGGGCCUCUCCCGGGCCUGGGGAGGACACUGGACUUUGAAGAGGAAUGCAGCCUAGAAGGCCUGGACCCUGGAGUCAUGAGAUGCUGCUCCCAUCCAGUAAGCCCUGGCUGGAGCUCUUCUGGGCACCAACCCUGGCAUAAAACCAGUGGGGCCUCUGGGCCUGCAUUCAACAGUGCCUCUGAUGGAGCAGCUUCAGCUUGGUUGUGACCUCUGCUAGAAGCCCUCCCUGGCCUCCCGGUGCACUGAGCUGGCAGUUCCUCCUUUGCGCCCCAGGUACAUGCUCAGAUCUGUGUACCCUCCACUUUGUCCUCCAGCUUCGUGUUUGGAUGUUCACAACUCCCAUGAAAAGGGCCCUCGAGAGCUGGCGCAGUGCACGUUUCCUCUCCAGACUUCUACGAACCCAGCACGUAAUUGUUUGCUGAAAGAUGGCAUGUUCCUAAAACAGAGGAAGUAGAAUCUGAAUAAAGCAAAAUCCAACUUCCCA